rnacentral:piRNA from 1 species
AAGAAGCGGAAUUUUAUUCUGGAUCAG